UUGCUUGUCUCGAACAUAGCAAUUAUUACUAUUUUUCAUAAUAUUCAAUAACAAAUGCCAACUCAAGAAAAAUUAUCGCAAAGGAAAACCAAUUCCAAAUUGAAGAUCUUAUUUUACUAUGCAGGUGCAAAGUAUGUGUCUGACCGGAAGGGCUUUAGAAAGCUGCUGCAUCAAGAGCUGACGUCAGGUUGUAACGACAUACUGUACCUGCAUCUUAGCUCCAACGAUGUUUGCUGCAAGGAUAGCGAUUUUUACCGGUGCACAGUUGAGGAACUGCUGCCAGUGGAUAAGGAGCGCAAACAGCAUGCUGUGGGAACUGAGUCACCAUGUGCCUUCUGUGAGAUACAUGGACUAUGGAGCAACUAAACAUGUAUAGGGAAAGAUCUAGAGUGAAAUAACUGCGGUGGACCAAUCCCUAAUUCUGUUCAGACAUCCUUCUUUGCUCAAGAGAUAUGCCCCCUUAAUUGGUGAAAAUUAAAUUGACUCAUUGAGCAGUUUUGUUGCAAUAACUGGUUUCUAAAUAACUUUUACAUGAAAUAUCAUGAAUUUUAAAAUAGAUGUAUUACUUUGUGGUGGUACACUUGCACGUUUUGUUGGUUUCAGCUCUAGACGUAAAGCCCCAUAAUUAAAGAUAUCUGUCGGCGCUGUAAUAUGGAAGUUAAUGAAAUUAAAAAAUAAACAUGUAUAAUCAUUUUAGUAGUUCUUGCAUAAGUUUCGUCAGGAUGAUCAUUUUGGUCAGUUCAGAGUUGUCCAUUUUAAUUGAUUGAAACUAAAGUAUUUUUUCAUUCGUCGAGGGAAACCAGUUCAUUGAAUUUGCUGCUUUAAUAUCUUAGUUAUGUUUAAAAAAAAUUGUACGGUAAUUAUCUAUAAUCAAAAUUUAAUUUUAAGAAGUCCCUGUACUUGUCCUAUGAUGGACUACAUCUGAGUGCUCAAGGGGCUAGGAGGUGUUUAGCAUCGAUACAGGACGACCUGCCAAACCAGCUGUGUGUGGAGGCUGCUGUUCAAGAUCCUACAGAAUGGCAAGCUCUCUCAGCCACGGAAGUACCGGUUCAGGAGCAUGACAGCACCAUAGCACUCUUUUCGGAUAUUGUGCAGACUGGAGCUCAAUCAGAGAUUCAAGACAAGGUGGAUGCAAGUGAAGUACAAGUUCCCAGUUGGGGAAGAAAUGCCACACAAGGUCAUGCUGCAGUGGAUUUGUUUACCUUGACAUUACUGAAGAUGUGGCUGUUUUCUUGCCUGCAUACGAGUUGAAUGGCUUAUGCUUGAAACGCAAGAAGAUGGAAGUCAAGACUGGUAAGGUUAAAAGGGAGAACCCUACCAUGGCAAAAAAAGAAGAACAAACAGUUUCCUUUCUACAAUUGCCCAAACUGCAGGGUGUGCUGUUCAUCUGAAGAUGCCCUGCUCGAACAUUUUAUAAGGAAGCAUUCAUCGUGGAAAGUUGAUAGGCCUGGGAAGACUGUCAUGAAUGUUUUUCAGUUGUAAGAAGAUUUGAGCUGCAUCUUUAGAGACAUGUGUAUGAUAACAGCGAGAUAUUCAAAACAAUCGAUGAAUGGGAAACACGCUACCUGAUGGCAAGAUCAAUGAACAGACAACAGAUCUGAAUAUGUGUCCGCUUCAUCUUGUAAAUUGUCUUGUUCAUAGUUCCAAACUGAUGCUGCUCUUAUUUGAUGAAGAUUUCUCCAUUCCAACGGGUUAUUACACAAUAGAGGAACACUCCAAAUACAUGGAAUCGCUAAGUAUAAGUCUUCCGUCUGAUUAUAAAAAAAAUAAAAAUAACUUCUUACCUAAAAGAAAAUAUUCAGGUGAAAACUGGGAAAAUGAUGAGGGAAAGUGUCCAACUGUACAGUUUAAUACUGCUACUGACUAUAGUCCUACUCCUAAAGAUAUAUAUAUACUGUAGCUAGUUAUAAUGAAAAUAAUGUGUUUGUCUCUACAUCUAGACCAGAGUUGUGCAAUACAUACUUAUCAGGGACAACUUUAAACAAAGGAAUGCGGAAAAGAAGAAAAUCAAAUGAGAAUGUUCAAUUUAAUGUUGACAAUAAAUUGUGAUCAGAUAUAUUGAUUGAACAUUUAACAAACUGUUCAAACGCUUUAAAAUUGCAAAAUCUUGUAUUACAAACUUUAGGAGAAAAGGGUUUUGCUACAUCAAAGAAGCAAUCUUUUGUUUUAAAUUAGAACAAGAAGCUAAAAGAUUAUCUGCAUAUAACAACUGUACAACUGGAACCUUUGUAUGUUCAGUUUUUAAAAAUAAAAUUGAAGACAAUGAAUUUUAUUAUGUAAGGUAUGUUGAAUCUGGAGUUUACAGUGGAUUCAUGAAACAGAAGUACUAAUAUUUCCUUAAGGAGCAUUUAAAUGUUGCAGAUGAUAAUGUUUUGUUGCAUCAAGUUAUCACAUUGGAAGAUAUAAAUCAAAUGAAAAUUGAUGAAAAUAAACAUAAAAUAAAAAGGAAUCGCCCAGAUAAAAUAUUUAGUCAUUGUUUUGAUAAAAUUUUGCCAUGAUAUGUAAAUGAACUGAAUGACAAUGACAAUUGUGAUAGUGUUCAACUACUGUCUUACGUAGUACUUUUUUCGCCAUUUAAAUCAAAAGCAUCUGUAGACAAGCAUGGCCAGAUGUUUUUUUUAAUGAAACCGCAGGAUUUACAUAAAAGUUUACUGAAACUAGUUUAUGACUUUAAAAUAAAUCAACUUGUGACCAAAAGUCGUUGUUCAAAAGAUAUAAUAACAGUACCAGCAGUUGUGAAUGGUACUCUCCUACAGCAGUCAUUUGUUUUGAAUUGCUUGUCUGGAAACAUCAAAGCAAAGCCAGAUUUAUUUGUUAAAUCAGCACGUUAUGAAUCUAAUUUUGUUGAAUCAGGCAACGUUGCUUUGGGUACAUCAUUAAGAAACAAAACGAUUCAGGUCUUUUUGAAAAAGGAUUAUGUUAACUUAUUUCCUUUUAUAAGAAGUAUUUUCUAGAGUUAAAUGAAUGCAAUGAAACCACUGUUGAAACGUCAGAACCAGUUUUGAAAAAAAGAAAGACCAUAAAGCAUUUAAAGGGAUCUUUUCACGCUUUGGUAAAUUGACAAAAUUGAAAAAAGUUGUUUCAGAUUCGCAAAUUUUCGUUUUAGUUAUGAUAUUUGUGAGGAAACAGUAAUACUGAACAUUUACUAUGGUCUAAUAUAGCCAUUAUAUGCAUCUUUUGACGAUUUUAAAACCUAAAAAUUAUAAAGUGUUGCAACGCGAAACGAUUGAAUAAUUUGGAGAGUUCUGUUUUUGUCGUUAAAUUUUGUGAAACUACGAAGAUUGCUUAUAAGGUAUAAAAUACGUCAAGUAUGUGUACUCGGCGGAAUAGCUCAGUAGGCUAAAGCGUUUUUACUUCAGGACUCCAGGGGUCACUGGUUCGAAACCUGCUCCGGGCAAUGUUCUUUUCCUUUUUUAAAUUUUAUUCUUGAUUUUUUACUGGAGCUUUUACGAUCCAAUGUUUACAUUUAUCAAUAUAAAGCAUUUAAUGAAUAAGUUAAAAAAUGCCAAAAUCUGUGAAAAGGCCCCUUUAAAGCAAAUAAAUAUUUGUAGAUCAGAAUUAGAGAAAGAAGUUGGCAUUUUUAAUAAAGACACUGAAACGAAUAUUUCUGAGCAUUUCGGAAACCUGUCAAUAUUUAAAAACAACAGUUGUUCCCUUCUAGAUCAUGGCACUUUAGGUAUACAAAUGCAUGAUGACAGUGGCAAUGUAGUUUGUUGCCUUAAUGAUUACUGCGAAAUGGAUGGUUUAUUUAAAGAAAAUGAUUUUAUUUUCACUACUAGGUUUUGUCAAGAAACUGGUGACUAUCUUGACUGCACAUGUAAAAUAUACAAAACUCUGCUUAAUGUGAAGGAAUUUAAUAUUAGGAACGAAGAAUUUCUAGUUUUAUAUCUUCAGGAGAUAACUGUGUAACUUGGAUGCAUUGUUAGUUUGUUAAAUUGCAUGUUUUACCUUGUUUAGCACCGGAUCAUGUGCAGUUUCCAGAAUCAUUGUCAAGAAUCCAACACUUUGUUCAAAAGGCUUUGUGUUUUAAUAAUCAGAAAAUAGUUGAAAUAUCUAGAAAACCAGAAAUUUGAAAAUUUUCUGUUCUUAUAGAAGGUGACGAGUAUCCAGCUUUUGUUCAUUUAAGCAUGAACAAAAGGCUUGGUAAAUGCACUGUGUCAUGCACUGCUGGUAGAUGCCGUUCUCAAAAGAGUAAUAAGAGAAAUAUAAGUACUUUACUUAAUUCGAAGGUUUGUAGGCACUUAAACUUAUUUAAAUCAUAUACCCACAUGUGGGACGCUUUAAUUCAUACAAAUAUUGAUACAAUGGUGAUGAAGAACAGCAGUUAUUUGAUGACAAUAUUGAUGAUGAAAUGCCUGUUUCGGUUACAUUAAGUACUGCUGCAUACAAUAACUUCAAUGAGGAAUCUGGACUUUGAAAUUUUAAGUGUAGAAGUAAACAUUCUCCAAGACUUAAAGACAACAAUGAGUUAAGGGAAAAUAUCAUAAAACGUGAUCAAUGGAAUGAUUCUAACCGUGUUCGAUGUUCAGAUGGUUGCCUAAAAGGACCUGUAUUAUUUCCAGAUAUUCCAGACAAUACCUGUCCCUGUGGAAGCGGUUGGCUCAAGCGAGAAGAUGACAAUAAUUACAGUGAAAAUGGACUGACCAUACACGAAAGACAAAGGACAUUAACUAUUUACACAAAUUUUGCACCUGUAAAAUGUGACAUUCAUAUACGUGAAUGCUAUAAUUCAAUUAGUAAGCCAUGCAGAAUACUUUAAGAUGAAAGGGAAUAAGUUUGUAUACAUGUAUUAAGUAGGGAUACAGCAGCAGGAGAUGAAAUAGGGUGGGAGUUUGUAUCUAUGGUUAUGAAUUCUACUUACACUUUUUCCUCUUACUGCCAGUUUAAAAAUGAGAUGUAUAAAACUCGCCACAAUAAGGCUAAGUUUAUGGAUCAAACAUUUUUUAUUUACAUUUUUGAUUCAGUUAGGCUUCAAACAUGAAAAUAGAUUUCCGUAUACCCUGUGAUGUAUGUGGUUAUGGUCUUAAGAGAUUGUGCUGUGAUGGUACAAAAGUAGGAGUUGGAUUUCGGAAUUCAAAUUAUUAGGAAAUUACAGAAACAAACCAGGCUUUGGGCAUUAAUAAUACGCUGCAUCGUAGAAUGGAUAGAUGUUUUUUGAAAAAUUUGAAUGGAAUAGGCAAACAAGAAAUGAUUAAGCUUCGAACUACUUUAGAUUACAUUGCUCGGAAAGAACUGAAUGAAAUUAAAGAGAAUGAAAUUAUUCCAGAGAAGGAAUUAUUGGACCGUAUCAAGUUGUUAAAACAAGCACUGCCCUCUGAAGUUUUGGGUUCCUUCGAAAGAUUUUAUCAAAUGAGUGAUAAUGAACAAGUUGCAUAUUCAAAUGUGUUAAAAAGCUAGCCACAACAGCGUACAUUACAAGCCUUGUACCCCCUGCAUAUUGUUACAAAAUUAAACAAUUAUUAAAUAGCCCUAAUAUUGAAAAUGAUCGAAAUGAUAGUAUUAUUGAAACUCGUUCGUUUGCACCUGAACUAAGAGAUUUAAUUUGCGAGUCUUUAAUAAGCAACAAUGAAAUAUUGUCAGAUGACAUUAGAUUAUUUUUGCAAUAUCUAAUUAAUGAAUCAAUGUCAUUGCAAGUUACUGAACCAGAACCACCUGUACCUCAAGUGGGCACAUACAAUCCUGAAAAGUUUGGAAGGGCCUAUUAUUUUAAUGAAUCUGGGUUAAAGUUAAGAAGUGUAAGAAAGUUUUACAUUGACAAUGACAGCUGUGUUAAAAGAAAUAUAGACCAUGACGAUACGACUUUAGAAUUUGAAAAAUGUCAAAAGCUUUAUUCUAAAGUUCAAACUUCUGCUCGAGGAACAUCAACAUUAUUUCUUUGGUUCUUUGCAGACCAUGGCCAUUGGUAUGGUUUUCAAAUGACUGGGGCAGAAGGAAGAAACGAUCCCGCAUUAUCACUCUAUAGCUACUUAGAAACCCCUCCACAAGACGUGUUUUAUGACUUUGCAUGUAAUUUACAAGAAUAUUGCCUAAACAGAUAAAGUGGAUACUAUAAAAAUGUACGUUUUUUCAUGACAUUUUCCAUGGCUACUCCCACAAAUGUUCUAGUGCUUUUACAGCUAGCAGACUUCAAGGCUUUGAAUCUGUAAAUUCUGAAAUAUGUGAACAAUUCAACAGCAUUAUACAGUGCAUUAAAAGGUCGGCCCGUCAGAUGUCACAGUCACACUGUUGCUUUUACCUACAAUUCUUUUUAAAUGAAUGGAAUAAGAAGAAAAUGUUUUCAUAUGAAACAAAGAUUUGCUUAAGCUGGGUUAGUUUAAUGUGAUACUAAAAUGAUCUAUAUUUUUAAGUUCAUCUGAACUUUGAAUACUUACUAUUGCAUCUUUUGAUGCUUUUUUCUAUUAAAGACUGAGCGAGUAAACACAUAAUAUGUAUUAUUAUGCAAUAAUUGUUUUGUAUUAUAUCUCAACUGAACAUAAAGUGCUCAUGGUGAGCUAUUGUAAAUGGUCUUGGUCCGUCAUGGGUCAACAUUUUUUACUUAAACAACAUCUAACCUCUGUGCCAAUCUAAAUGAAACAUGGCACGAGUUUUCUUGCAUGAACCUCUUUCAAAGUUGUUAAAUGAAAUGCAUUCCAUGCAUAAAUCUGGUUGCGAUGGCAACCAAAAGGAAAGCUUAUAAAUUUGGCAUAAAACAUCGUCUGGUUGACCUCCACCGUGAAUUUCAAAAUAUGCUAUACCCAACUCACAGGCAAAUUUGUCCUUAUUUGCUAAUAGUGAACACUUCUCUUAAAUGGCCAGGAGAGUUCAAGUUCAUAGACAAAAACAACAGUCAGAUGAGCGAUAUAGUGACAUAAUGGCACCUUUAUAGCUGAAUCAUAAAUGAAAAAUUGUCAAUUAUAUGUUCUGUGACUUGUAUGAUUUGCAGUAUUCAUUUCGCUGUCUUCAUGCACCUUACAAAAGCCAUUUUAUUAUCAGUGUUCGUGAUUCUGUCGUAGCAUUUAUUCUUGAAAUUCGUUGUUUUUCAUAUUUUUCCUUAUUGUUAUGCUCACCGAAAUAAAAUUUCGGCGGAGCAUAUAGUUGCCAGUUGUCCUUCUUUACUAGUUUCUCAUGGCACCUUCAAUUCUUUACCGAUCUCUUUCAUAUUUGGCAUGUAGGUACCUUGCAUGGACCUUUACCUUUUGAUGAGGUCACUGGGGUCGAGGUCACCAAGGCUAAUAAUAGAUUUUUCCGUCACACUUUUGUCACAGUUUCUCAUAGCACCUUCAAUUCUUAACCGAUAUCUUUCAUAUUUGGCAUGUACGUACCUUGCAUGGACCUGUACCUUUUGAUGGCGUUUGAGGUUACUGGGGUCAAGGUCACCAAGGCUAAUAAUAGAUUUUUCCAUCACACUUUUGUUACAGUUUCUCAAAGCACCUUCAAAACUUCACCGAUCUCUUUCAUAUUUGGUAUGUAGGUACCUUGCAUGGACCUCUACCUUUUGAUGAGGUUUGAGGUCACUGGGGUCAAUGUCCUCGAGGCUAAUAAUAGAUUUUUAGGUGGUUUUUGACACAUAGAUUGACAUAGCGCAUCAUCGGGGAGCAUCUAUCAGUUUCACUGAUAUUCUUGUUGUAUGUUAUAUACGUGAUCAUAGAUACUGUAAAUUUUGUCUUAUGCGACAUGUUUAUAUUGUAGAAGAUGAGUACCCUGUGUUUAUGCAGUGCCCAUUGUAUAAUACAGAUAUGAUUUGUUUAUUCCGCAGUGGUUGAAUGAAAUGAAAACUGUUUCGUUUGUUCAAUAUGUUAAUGGUAGAUGAAAAUGACAAGCACAUAUUUUUUAAUUGCAAAAUUUGUGUAUGUGCAUGCUAAUAUAAUAAAACAACUACGUAAUUAUCAUGCAAAUUAGCUUUCAUUUUAAUACUGCAUGGUUGUAUUGCAUUGUUUAUUUAUAUCUGAUAUAAAAUACUGAUUCUUAGGUUACUUUAUAAGUAUGUUACUAUUUUGCAUGCUUACAUGUACAUGUUAUAGGUAUUUAAUUAUUAGUAAGUCCAUGUUUUGGUGGUAUUAUAAUGUAUAGCAGUAUUUGUUCUACGAAAGUGUAUGCGUGUGUUUCAUCAUAUGACUUUGUAUUCUUUAACAAUUCAGGUUAUUUUAUAUAAUUAUGAAAAUAAACUGUAUGUAUUAUGGCCCUGUGGUCUGACUGCAAAUAAAUAUUCGUAUUUGUA